UGAUGACACAUGGGCUAAUUAAUGGACAGAGAGUACACAAAUUUUUGGGGGACCACAGGUGUGCAGUGACAAGUGGCUAUUAUUCUGGGUUUUCAAUAAGAUCCCAUACAUUUAGGGAGCCUUGUGUAGUAAGGUAUAACUGUGAGGAAUGAUGACAUCAAGGGGUGUAGUUGCAAACAUAUCACAUAACAAAUAUACCUCUGCAUUCAGACAUGAACAUUCCUCGCAUUACACCCCAGC